rnacentral:rRNA from 1 species
GAUGAACGCUGGCGGCGUGCCUAAUACAUGCAAGUCGAGCGAACGGACGAGAAGCUUGCUUCUCUGAUGUUAGCGGCGGACGGGUGAGUAACACGUGGAUAACCUACCUAUAAGACUGGGAUAACUUCGGGAAACCGGAGCUAAUACCGGAUAAUAUUUUGAACCGCAUGGUUCAAAAGUGAAAGACGGUCUUGCUGUCACUUAUAGAUGGAUCCGCGCUGCAUUAGCUAGUUGGUAAGGUAACGGCUUACCAAGGCAACGAUGCAUAGCCGACCUGAGAGGGUGAUCGGCCACACUGGAUCUGAGACACGGUCCAGACUCCUACGGGAGGCAGCAGUAGGGAAUCUUCCGCAAUGGGCGAAAGCCUGACGGAGCAACGCCGCGUGAGUGAUGAAGGUCUUCGGAUCGUAAAACUCUGUUAUUAGUGAAGAACAUAUGUGUAAGUAACUGUGCACAUCUUGACGGUACCUAAUCAGAAAGCCACGGCUACUACGUG